rnacentral:rRNA from 1 species
UGCAGUCGAGCGGUAAGGCCCUUCGGGGUACACGAGCGGCGAACGGGUGAGUAACACGUGGGUGAUCUGCCUUGCACUCUGGGAUAAGCCUGGGAAACUGGGUCUAAUACCGGAUAUGACCUUCGGUUGCAUGACCGGGGGUGGAAAGAUUUAUCGGUGCAAGAUGAGCCCGCGGCCUAUCAGCUUGUUGGUGGGGUAAUGGCCUACCAAGGCGACGACGGGUAGCCGGCCUGAGAGGGCGACCGGCCACACUGGGACUGAGACACGGCCCAGACUCCUACGGGAGGCAGCAGUGGGGAAUAUUGCACAAUGGGCGGAAGCCUGAUGCAGCGACGCCGCGUGAGGGAUGACGGCCUUCGGGUUGUAAACCUCUUUCGACUCCGACGAAGCGAGAGUGACGGUAGGAGUAUAAGAAGCACCGGCCAACUACGUGCCAGCAGCCGCGGUAAUACGUAGGGUGCGAGCGUUGUCCGGAAUUACUGGGCGUAAAGAGCUUGUAGGCGGUCUGUCGCGUCAUCUGUGAAAACUUGGGGCUCAACCUUAAGCUUGCAGGCGAUACGGGCAGACUAGAGUACUUCAGGGGAGACUGGAAUUCCUGGUGUAGCGGUGAAAUGCGCAGAUAUCAGGAGGAACACCGGUGGCGAAGGCGGGUCUCUGGGAAGUAACUGACGCUGAGAAGCGAAAGCGUGGGUAGCGAACAGGAUUAGAUACCCUGGUAGUCCACGCCGUAAACGGUGGGUACUAGGUGUGGGUUUCCUUCCACGGGAUCC